CCUCCCCCCGCUUCUUUAGAAUCCGUGCCAUCAUAAAUGGCCGUCUGAUUUGACAUUGAUGUGAUGCGUCGUGACAGGCUAGCACACGUGUAUGGUAGACCAUCUGUCGCCUUCCGCUAAGGCAAACGCCUCAGCCCGGUAAGCUCGGAAAUGGACCCCAAAUUUGACUAAUUUACGUUCCUGCCCUACUGGCUCUUCCCAUCUUUUACCGUUGAACUGGUGGGUCCCGGAAAUCGUGCGGUAGGUGAGGAUAAGAUCGCGUGUUGGUGGAGGGGUAAUUAUGGAACGAGGGAGAAGUUGUAAUGAAACGUCUCGCGGAGGAGCGACCGCACACGAUUGAAACGCGUCCAUCAUUCGUCCGUUUCUUG
rnacentral:lncRNA from 1 species